GCUGAGCCAAAUCUGGCAGGUGGAAGUUGGCGUCCCUUGAUUAAGAAGUUGAGUAUCACAAUCAAAAGCGGUUCUGUAAGGCCACUACGACACUGAACAGACACGUCGAUGGUAAAGAAACUCUGAAUUAAAUUGUUAAGCCUGUCUCACUCUGACUACAAACAACAAAACGUUUACAACGUGGUUUAAAUGAAACAACCGUUAGUUUCAGUUACAGUAACGCUAGCGAGUGUUGCUAAUGACGUUAGCUAACGUGCUAAGCUAGCAGGGACGGAGAGGAAAUGAAGACUGUCAACAAAUAAACAAAAGGACUGUGAGAGGAAGAAGACUUCUGUCAACAAACAAACUAAAUGACUGAGAGGAGGAAGACUUCUGUCAACAAACAAACUAAAUGACUGUCAAAGAGGAAGACUUCUGUCAACAAACAAACUAAAUGACUGUGAGAGGAGGAAGACUUCUGUCAACAAACACACUAAAUGACUGUGAGAGGAGGAAGACUUCUGUCAACAAACACACUAAAUGACUGUGAGAGGAGGAAGACUUCUGUCAACAAACAAACAAAAUGACUGUGAGAGGAGGAAGACUUCUGUCAACAAACACACUAAAUGACUGUGAGAGGAGGAAGACUUCUGUCAACAAACAAACAAAAUGACUGUCAAAGAGGAAGACUUCUGUCAACAAACAAACAACAUGACUGAAAACAGCAAGUGCAGUUGGACAUCCCUGUGAAUCAAAGGAGAAUUGACUUCGACAACAAAUCUCUGUUUUUUUCUUCUCCUCCAACCUUGGAUGCUUCUGUGAGCUGCUAUUCGCUUGACAAUAGGCCACGUCUGGGAUUGAAGCUGCAGUACUUGAUGAAGUUUUCUAACCUCUGGGUGUUUUCAAGGAUUGUGGCGAUGAAAACAGUAUGAAUACAGGCUGGGUCGAUACGUAGAGCCAAUCGGUGUCAUUCACUUUGUUAUUGCUAAACAUUUUUAACAUAAUGUACAGCAAAAGAAUCUAUGUGAUGAAGUGUUUAGUGCAAUAAGUUU
rnacentral:lncRNA from 1 species